UACGUAGGGGGCGAGCGUUGUCCGGAAUUAUUGGGCGUAAAGAGCGUGUAGGCGGUUCGGUAAGUCUGCCGUGAAAACCUGGGGCUCAACCCCAGGCGUGCGGUGGAUACUGCCGGGCUAGAGGGUGGUAGAGGCGAGUGGAAUUCCCGGUGUAGCGGUGAAAUGCGCAGAUAUCGGGAGGAACACCAGUAGCGAAGGCGGCUCGCUGGGCCAUACCUGACGCUGAGACGCGAAAGCGUGGGGAGCGAACAGG
rnacentral:rRNA from 1 species